AAGGUUAAAGAUGUAUUCAUCUAAAGAAGAAUUGAGUGAGUGAGAGGACUAACUUUGGGUACUGUAAGGUGUGCUUUGUUUGAGUAAAUGGUGAAAUUUGACGCAAGAACAGGUGGUGUUGUGUUUAAAAGUUGAAGGAUAAGAGUGAGAUUUGAAAAUGUAAGUGUGAGGCAAUCAAAUGGUAGACAUAUCUGUAAAAG
rnacentral:lncRNA from 1 species